UUGGCACCUAACAAGCAGGGAGAGGCGGAGCAGAGCAGGCAAGAGAACAAAGAAUAUUUUGCGGGAGCCGGAGGCAACUGAGGACCUCUGCGGAGUGACAGGCAGACAGAAGCAGGCAGGACGGGGGGGGUAAGGAGGAAAUGAGUAAAUAUGUAUGAGUGAAGCACUAGGAACAGCGCGUGGCCCUGCGGAUAACAGAAUAUUGAAGAACUGAUACCACACAGGUUACAGCCAGCUAACAAAGUUAACAACCAGUGCUGCAGCUGCAGCCCAGCC
rnacentral:lncRNA from 1 species